AGAGUUUGAUCCUGGCUCAGGAUGAACGCUGGCGGCGUGCCUAAUACAUGCAAGUCGAACGGGGUUAUUGUAGCAAUACGGUAACCUAGUGGCGAACGGGUGAGUAACGCGUUGGUGACCUGCCCCAAAGAGGAGGAUAACGAACCGAAAGGUUCCCUAAUACUCCAUGUGAUCUUGGUUUUUAGAAAGCCUUGAUUAAAGUCGCAAGACGCUUUGGGAGGGACCUGCGUCCCAUCAGCUAGUUGGUAGGGUAAUGGCCUACCAAGGCUAUGACGGGUAGGGGACCUGAGAGGGUGACCCCCCACAAUGGAACUGAAACACGGUCCAUACACCUACGGGUGGCAGCAGUAGGGAAUAUUGUUUAAUCUGCGAAAGCGGGAAACAGCAACGCCGCGUGUGUGAUGAAGGCCUUCGGGUUGUAAAACACUUUUCAGAGGGAUGAGGAAGGACAGUACCUCUGGAAUAAGCAUCGGCUAACUACGUGCCAGCAGCCGCGGUAACACGUAGGAUGCGAGCGUUAUCCGGAUUUAUUGGGCGUAAAGCGUGCGCAGGUGGUUUGGUAAGUUGGAUGUGAAAGCUCCCGGCUUAACUGGGAGAGGUCGUUCAAUACUACUGAACUCGAGAAUGGUAGAGGAAGGUGGAAUUCCGCGUGUAGUGGUGAAAUGCGUAGAUAUGCGGAGGAACACCAGUGGCGAAAGCGGCCUUCUGGACCAUUUCUGACACUCAUGCACGAAAGCUAGGGUAGCAAACGGGAUUAGAGACCCCGGUAGUCCUAGCUGUAAACGAUGUGAACUUGGCGUCGGUGGGGUUAAAUCCAUCAGUGCCGAAGCUAACGCGAUAAGUUCACCGCCUGGGGAUUACGGCCGCAAGGUUAAAACUCAAAGGAAUUGACGGGUCCCCGCACAAGCAGCGGAGCGUGUGGUUUAAUUCGUUGCUACACGAAGAACCUUACCAAGGUUUGACAUGCAAGUAGUAGGAAAUCGAAAGAGGACCGACCCUUCGGGGAGCUUGCACAGGUGCUGCAUGGCUGUCGUCAGCUCGUGUCGUGAGAUGUUCGGUUAAGUCCGUCAACGUGCGCAACUCCCACUGUGUGUUAUACGUGUCACACGGAACUGCCGGUCUUAAACCGGAGGAAGGUGGGGAUGACGUCAAGUCAGCAUGGCCUUUAUAUCUUGGGCUACACACACGCUACAAUGGUCAGUACAAUAGGUUGCCAAGCCGCGAGGCGGAGCCAAUCCAAUAAAACUGGCCUCAGUUCAGAUUGCAGGCUGCAACCCGCCUGCAUGAAGCCGGAGUUGCUAGUAAACGCAGGUCAGCUAUACUGCGUUGAAUACGUUCCCGGGCCUUGUACACACCGCCCGUCACGUCAUGGAAGCUGGCAACACCUGAAGCCGUUAUCCUAACCGCAAGGAGGGAGCCGUCGAAGGUGGGGUCGGUAACUGGGACGAAGUCGUAACAAGGUAAGC
rnacentral:rRNA from 1 species